rnacentral:misc_RNA from 1 species
AAAAAAAAAAAAAAAAAAUCUUGUUUAUUUAUCUCUACAAGAAAACCCUCAUCAGUAUUAGCUGAAGUUCAUCAAUGGCUACUGCUUCAUCUUCACUUUCUUUGAAUCAUCAUCGUUAUUUGGUUCAAAUACAAGGUGGGGUUUCUUUGAAAUCAAGAAUUCGUGUUCCUACAAGGUUUUCCUCAAAUGGGUUCACUUCAAGAAUCAGGGCUACCUCUGCUGUUGCUGUAGAACCGGAAUUGAGAACUCCAGCUCAGGAUUCUAUGGAAGCUGAAUUGUUUGCUUGCCCAAUUUGUUAUGAACCUCUUACAAGAAAAGGGCCUUCAGGAUUUAAUGUACCUGCAAUCUACAGAUCAGGCUUCAAAUGCAGAAAAUGUAACAAGUCAUAUUCAAGCAAAGAUAUCUACCUUGAUCUCACUGUUACUUCUGGAACAAAACAAUACAAUGAAGUUAAACCAGCUCGGAGUGAACUAUUCAGGAGUCCAAUUGUUUCAUUCUUGUACGAGAGAGGCUGGCGUCAAAAUUUUAACCUAAGUGGUUUUCCUGGUCCUGAUGAAGAGUUUAAUAUGGCUCAAGACUACUUUAAAGUGGCAGAAGGUGGAGUUCUUGUAGAUGUUAGCUGCGGCAGCGGAUUAUUUUCCAGGAAAUUUGCCAAAUCUGGGGUCUAUUCAAAAGUCAUUGCCCUUGAUUUCUCUGAAAACAUGCUUCGCCAGUGUUAUGAUUUCAUCAAGACGGAUGAAAGUAUCUUAAGCUCCAAUCUAGCUCUUGUAAGGGCAGAUGUUUCCAGAUUACCUUUCUUUUCUGGAUCAGUUGAUGCUGUACACGCAGGUGCUGCCUUGCAUUGCUGGCCAUCUCCGUCCAAUGCAAUUGCUGAAAUUAACCGGAUUUUGCGUAGUGGGGGUGUAUUUGUUGGUACUACAUUUCUUCGAGUUAAUCCUUCAACUCCUCCGAUUUUUAGGGCUUUGCAGCAGAGUGCUACACGGACCUACAGUUUUUUUACUCGAGAGGAGAUCGAAGACUUGGUUACAACCUGUGGUCUCAUCAACUAUACAAGUAAAGUUCAGGGUGGUUUUAUCAUAUUUUCCGCGCAAAAACGCUGAUUUUUGUCUUGUUGAAGUUCAUCAUCUUCCAUGUUUACUGUAUAUUCUUGUACUCAGAUUUGCAAUGUAUGUCAACCCUGUAGAUUCAGGCAAUUGUGC